CUGUGCAGGGUAAUAUUUACAUCUGCGGAUAUGGCGCUACUGUAGGAUAAGUAUUAAUGAGAACAAGAGGUGUUGACAGCCAUUGGCAGGACAUAACUGGAUGCAGUUAUUCCAUUCAAACACGUUGACACGUUGGGUUUCCAAUGUUAUGGAGCGCAGUGCACAGCUUCUCACUUCUUCUUUUUUGCAGUUGAGACAUGUUCUCUCCCCCGGCACCGACACAAGACACGUUUUUAAUCAGACCUCGAGGAAAGUUAGUGUGCACAGAACAUAUCGCGAUGGUUCCUCUAUGCAAGCCUGUAGCACGCAUCUCCAUCCCUAGAGCGCUUUGAUUUUUCUUCCCUGUACGCGCGCGCGCUGGCUCGAGAGGCAGGAGGCUGCACGAGCUGUGCAGAUGAAAGUGUCUCGUUCUUAAACUUUUAUCAAACGAGGUUCCUUCUGGAUUAACGUCGGAACAAGAAUGGAAUUCACCACGACGCAGUGGACGGAAGUGAACGGAGAGGAUUUCCCUCUGCACAAGAUGUGGGGAAGACUAGAAGGACUUUGUCCGCAGAUUGCGUCCCGACCCAGAGAGUGGAGAGCAGCACCGGAACAGGGGGGAUGAAGGUCUCUGGUUUGGCUUUGGUUUUAUCGCAGCACUCCUAAACUCGUUUAUGUAAUGAUGCGUUGGUUUGUGUUUAUUCGGGGGGAAUCUGCUGCUGUCUCUCACUGUGACGAGAAGCUCGAGCUGUGUUGCUGUGGGAAAUCUUACUGUAAAGUGUAGGAUUUAUUUUUGUCGUUGACACUGAUAGCCAGAUCUAUUGGAUAUGAACAACACAACGCUUGCAUUUCUUGCAGGAUUCAGUUUCUGGGAGAUGUGAUAUUUUGCCACCUUUGAACGAUGGUGAGAAAGUUCCUAUAACGUUACAUUGCUUUGGACCUUUGUAAGUUUCUUUCUUUCUUUAUUUACAUAGUUGUGUGUCUCUUCUAGUCCGAACAACAACACGAUUAGAAUGCAAAUUCAAUAACUGAUUUUGCAUGUUUAAUCUAAUUUCCACCUGUUUGUAAGAAAGGUUUGGGUUUGAAAUUAUGAUGUAAGAGUUGAUAAAUAGAAUUGCCACCGGCCGCCUUUAAUGUAUAUUGAUUAUUAAACAUGUAUUGUAUUUUUCCUCAAAUAAAGGACUUUACAUAUAAA
ensembl:lncRNA